UUUGCUGUUUCUGGAAUUCGUUUUGGUACCUUAUAUACAGAGAACCAAGAUGUUGUUAAUGCAGUGGCUUCUUUGUGUUAUUUCCAUGGGGUUUGUGGACCUGUCCAGCACAAGGUUGCACAGCUGCUUAGAGACAGAGACUGGAUCAACCAGGUGUACCUGAGGGCCAACCAUGCCCGCCUGAAAGCGGCCCAUACGUAUGU